AUCAUUCAAAUAUAUAUGCAAGUCGUUAACUGGUCAAGUGGCUAGAUGCACAUAUCGUCGGCAAAUUGAACGACAUGUCGUUUUAAAACUUCUAGAAAUAUUAACGGAAAUAAGGGAUGAGUAAAGAAAAAUAAAUGAAAACAGAACGACUGAAUUAAAUAAAAGGAUGUUCGAUAUACUGUAUAUUUCGGUUUAUUUUUAAAAUCU
rnacentral:lncRNA from 1 species